rnacentral:rRNA from 1 species
GAUGAACGCUGGCGGCGUGCCUAAUACAUGCAAGUCGAGCGAACAGACGAGGAGCUUGCUCCUUUGACGUUAGCGGCGGACGGGUGAGUAACUCGUGGAUAACCUACCUAUAAGACUGGGAUAACUUCGGGAAACCGGAGCUAAUACCGGAUAACAUGUUGAACCGCAGGGUUCAACAGUGAAAGACGGUCUUGCUGUCACUUAUAGAUGGAUCCGCGCCGCAUUAGCUAGUUGGUAAGGUAACGGCUUACCAAGGCAACGAUGCGUAGCCGACCUGAGAGGGUGAUCGCCCACACUGGAACUGGGACACGGUCCAGGCUCCUACGGGAGGCAGCAGUAGGGAAUCUUCCGCAAUGGGCGAAAGCCUGACGGAGCAACGCCGCGUGAGUGAAGAAGGUCUUCGGAUCGUAAAACUCUGUUAUUAGGGAAGAACAAAUGUGUAAGUAACUAUGCACGUCUUGACGGUACCUAAUCAGAAAGCCACGGCUAACUACGUG